GAUGAAGAACGUAGCGAAAUGCGAUAAGUAAUGUGAAUUGCAGAAUUCAGUGAAUCAUCGAAUCUUUGAACGCACAUUGCGCCCCUUGGUAUUCCGAGGGGCAUGCCUGUUCGAGCGUCAUAUUAACCACUCCCGCUUGCGGGGUCUUGGGCUUCGCCUCCGGGCGGGCCUUAAAGUCAGUGGCGGUGCCGUCGGGCUCUACGCGUAGUAAAUUUUCUCGCGAUAGGGUCCCGGUGGAUGCUUGCCAACAACCCCCAACUUCUUAAGGUUGACCUCGGAUCAGGUAGGGAUACCCGCUGAACUUAAGCAUAUCAAUAAGCGGAGGA
rnacentral:misc_RNA from 1 species